rnacentral:rRNA from 1 species
CAGUAGCCGCGGGAAUACGAAGGGUGCAAGCGUUAAUCGGAAUUACUGGGCGUAAAGCGUGCGUAGGCGGUUUGUUAAGACAGAUGUGAAAUCCCAGGGCUCAACCUGGGAACUGCAUUUGUGACUGGCAAGCUAGAGUGUGGCAGAGGGGGGUGGAAUUCCGCGUGUAGCGGUGAAAUGCGUAGAGAUCGGGAGGAACAUCAGUGGCGAAGGCGGCCAUCUGGGACAACACUGACGCUGAGGCACGAAAGCGUGGGGAGCAAACAGGAUUAGAUACCCCAGUAGUCCCUGUCUCUUAUAC